CGCACGCCUUGGCCUCCCAAAGUGCUGCGAUUACAGGCAUGAGCCGCCGUGCCUGGCCUGAGUUUUUUACUACACCUACUACAAAGACUUCUAGCAAAUGACUUCUACAAACCAGCUGGCUCACUCAGAUGAGGAUCCCAGGUGUGUUUCUUAGAAGCCCUACCAGGGGAGGGAGGGUGCAGGAGGCAGAAAGGUUGAGAACCUUAGGAAGUUUGCUGACACAGCAUAGUUGGGCAGAAAACAUAUUUUGCAGCCCUAUUCCAGGAGAGUGUGUGAGAAGCACCUGGAAGUGCGUGUGCCCCUCCCAGGGGGCCCCAGGGAGCUAUCCCUUUUUCAGGAGGUGUAGAAGUAGCCAGGUCCAAGUGGAUGUCCAGGAAUGGGCCUGGCCACUCUUCAGCUGCUGCACGUCUGGGAUAGAACAGAGUGGAGGGAAAGGGGUCCUAAUUUUUGAGAAUGCAUGGAAUAUCCUGAGCCACAAGCCUGGCCUCACAGAACAGAUAACCCCCACGACAGUGCAUCCUGCUGUCUCUGCUCUGAGCUAAACUGCAGGAGAACCCCGCCUUUAGGGACCUUUUCAUCCCAGGAACCCCAGCAACACCUAGGCUCCAGUACUGGGACAAGAAUCUGAGCUAUUUAAAAAUGUGCUUCUGUAGGAAAUGAUGUCAGAAUGCUUGUUUCAUAGGUCUGUUCUUUAACAGACAGCUAUUCAGCCCCAGCUGUGCAGAUCCCACUUCCUGGGAGUGGAGCAGAGGCUCUGCGUGGAGCAUCCAUGUGCAGUACUCUUAGGUACGGAAGGGAUUGGGCUAAACCAUGGAUGGGAGCUGGGAAGGGAAGGGACCAACUUCAGGCCCCACUGGGACACUGGAGCUGCCACCCUUUAGAGCCCUCCUAACCCUACACCAGAGGCUGAGGGGGACCUCAGACAUCACACACAUGCUUUCCCAUGUUUUCAGAAAUCUGGAAACGUAGAACUUCAGGGGUGAGAGUGCCUAGAUAUUGAAUACAAGGCUAGAUUGGGCUUCUGUAAUAUCCCAAAGGACCCUCCAGCUUUUUCACCAGCACCUAAUGCCCAUCAGAUACCAAAGACACAGCUUAGGAGAGGUUCACCCUGAAGCUGAGGAGGAGGCAGCCGGAUUAGAGUUGACUGAGCAAGGAUGACUGCCUUCUCCACCUGACGAUUUCAGCUGCUGCCCUUUUCUUUUCCUGGGAAUGCCUGUCGCCAUGGCCUUCUGUGUCCACAGGAGAGUUUGACCCAGAUACUCAUGGACCAGGCAAAGGUGCUGUUCCUCCCAGCCCAGGGCCCACCAUGAAGCAUGCCUGGGAGCCUGGUUGACUAUCUGGUAUAGUCUGCAGGAUUUAGAGUGUCUUCCCCUGACCACACGGUGUUUCUCUCUGAAAGCGGCACUUGGUACCAGCACAAACUCUGUCUUCAGAAGUCCCACCAGGUGUUUUGGGGCACCAACUAUCAGGCCUCCCGGAUGGUAUCAAGGAGCUCAAACUCACCAGGUCACCACAUCUGGACAAUGAGAGGCCAAACCCCUCACCCGCCAUGACUGCCUAACCACCCACCUGCUGCCUGUUGACUGACUCCUCUUCCUUAUCCCUCCCUAGUUCCUGUUUUCCUGCAUAGACGGGCUUUCACGGUGUUAGCCAGGAUGGUCUCAAU